GUCUUAUCAUUUUCCUAAUAUGUAAGCUUGAAAUUGCAGCGUAAUUUUUUUUGCACUCAGUGACCUUUGACCUUGACUGCAUAUUAAAGGUCACAUGAACUAAAGAUUAUUGGUGAAGGUCCCAAGUCUCUACGACUUCUGGUUCUCGAAAUACAAUUUUUCUAAAAUUAUGUACAAUUUUUCAAGGGGAAUAACUCCUUAUAAGGGUUAAUAACAAAAUGAUUGUACAUGUUCAUUAACAUUGCCAUCUGUUCCUGUACAUGUUGCCGUUUUCAAAUCGAUUCUAUCUCUUAUACUUUUUGUGAAAAAUGCAAAGAAAAGAAAUUGUUUCAAGGGGAUAUAACUCUCAUAGGGGACGAUGAAAUCCUAUUCAGCCUCACAUGGUAAUACAUCAUGAUGAGAUCUACAUUAUGUCCAAAUAAGGUCAUGAUAUCUUUAAAACCAACGAGGGGGGGGGGGGGGGCCAUGUUGAAAAAAAUCAAUAAAAGGGAGAUAACUCCUAAAGGGAAUGAUGCAAUCCUUAACAGGGUCAUUUGGUAAUACAUCGUGGUGAGGUCUAGCGAUGGUCCAUAUUUGGUCAUAAUAACUUCAACAGAAACAAGAGGCGGGCAUGUCAAACAAAUGUUGGAAGAAAAAAAAGAAAAAGAAAAAGAAAAAAAAACAUUAGAAAAACAAUAAGGUCUUUCCUCACGUAGGGGAAAGACCUUAAUAA
rnacentral:lncRNA from 1 species